rnacentral:rRNA from 1 species
AACGAACGCUGGCGGCAUGCCUAACACAUGCAAGUCGAACGAGACCUUCGGGUCUAGUGGCGCACGGGUGCGUAACGCGUGGGAAUCUGCCCUUGGGUUCGGAAUAACUCAGAGAAAUUUGAUCUAAUACCGGAUGAUGACUAAAGUCCAAAGAUUUAUCGCCCAAGGAUGAGCCCGAGUAAGAUUAGCUUGUUGGUGGGGUAAUGGCCCACCAAGGCGACGAUCUUUAGCUGGUCUGAGAGGAUGAUCAGCCACACUGGGACUGAGACACGGCCCAGACUCCUACGGGAGGCAGCAGUGGGGAAUAUUGGACAAUGGGCGAAAGCCUGAUCCAGCAAUGCCGCGUGAGUGAUGAAGGCCUUAGGGUUGUAAAGCUCUUUUACCAGGGAUGAUAAUGACAGUACCUGGAGAAUAAGCUCCGGCUAACUCCGUGCCAGCAGCCGCCGUAAAAC